rnacentral:rRNA from 1 species
GAUGAACGCUGGCGGCGUGCCUAAUACAUGCAAGUCGAGCGAACAGACGAGGAGCUUGCUCCUCUGACGUUAGCGGCGGACGGGUGAGUAACACGUGGAUAACCUACCUAUAAGACUGGGAUAACUUCGGGAAACCGGAGCUAAUACCGGAUAAUAUAUUGAACCGCAUGGUUCAAUAGUGAAAGACGGUUUUGCUGUCACUUAUAGAUGGAUCCGCGCCGCAUUAGCUAGUUGGUAGGGUAACGGCUUACCAAGGCGACGAUGCGUAGCCGACCUGAGAGGGUGAUCGGCCACACUGGAACUGAGACACGGUCCAGACACCUACGGGAGGCAGCAGUAGGGAAUCUUCCGAAAUGGGCGAAAGCCUGACGGAGCAACGCCGCGUGAGUGAUGAAGGGCUUCGGAUCGUAAAACUCUGUUAUUAGGGAAGAACAAAUGUGUAAGUAACGAUGCACGUCUUGACGGUACCGAAACAGAAAGCCACGGCUAACUACGU